GGUUCAUCGCAAAACCUUUUAGAGAGAGGUACAUAGAGGUUAAUCGCUAGGGAUGGAAAGAACCCUCUAGAGAGAGAGGUACAAAGAGAAGAUGGAAGGAGAACAUUAGGGUUAGGAUUAGAAAAAGCCCCAGCACUUUAGAGAGAGAAGGCUGAGAAAGGGUACAAAGAGAGAAGAUUGAGGGAAACAGGAAGAGCAUAUCGAAGAAAAGUUGAGACAGAGAGAGGUACAAAGAGAGAAGAUUGAAGGAGACCAUUAGGGUUUGCUUUAUAAAUGGUCAUCUGAGCAUUUACUGCCAUUCAAAAUUAGCCCAAGUCAAGGAGGAAUUGCAAAGUUCAAGAAAAGUUCAAUGACUCUAUCUGCUAGCAUUUGUUGCCAUUCGACAUCCUCUGCAACCAUUGCAAUUCCAGCACCUCAAUCAAG
rnacentral:lncRNA from 1 species